AUGGGAAGAUUUUUGAUGCAGUAUUCUAAAAUGUGGGCUUCUACAGGCUUACUGACUGUGAUACUCUUACUAGUUGGAAGGAUUCAUGGGAAUUCAGUGACCCAGACACCAGGGCAAGUGACAGUGUUAGAAGGGGCUUCCCUUCAUGUAAACUGCACUUACACAACCACAGAGUACCCUUCUCUCUUCUGGUAUGUUCAGUAUCCAGGAGAAGGUCCACAACUCCUCCUGAAAGCCAUGACAGCCAAUGAGAAAAGAAUCCAUAAAGCAUUUGAAGCCACUCAUGACAGAAAAACCACCUCCUUCCACUUAGAGAAAGCUGCUGUCCUCAAGUCAGAUAUUGCUGUGUACUACUGUGCUCUGAGUGACACAGUGACAGAAACCACAGGGAAAGCUGCGCACAAACUGAGCAGCACGUCUUGGCUUCAGGAUCUCUGGAUUCAGCACAUUUCCCUGCUGAUGAAAAAUCAUACAGACCAGAGGAGAAAGCAGGAAAUGGACAUCCCCAUACUUAGCUGUGCAUUAGUGAAACUGAGAACAGAGUCUGGCUAUUGA